rnacentral:tRNA from 1 species
GCGGUUAUGGUGAAGUGGUUAACACGCCUGACUGUGACUCAGGUACGCGCGGGUUCAAAUCCCGUUAAUCGCC